AACUCAUCCAUCUCAUUUUCAGGAACCUGGAUUCCAACCAACACAUUUGCACCAGUUUCACCCUGCCCACGGUAAUCGAACAAACUAAUGUUCCAACGAGGACUGAAAGCGUCCAAGAACUUCAUGAGAGCACCAGGCCUUUCUGGGAAUGACAAAGAACCUCAUUGCAAAUAUUCAAUCUGCCACCCAUCAAAUAACGUAAAUGAUCUUUGACCAAGUCACUUGAUGUAAGAUUGUAAGUUCUUAGUUGAGAAGAUUCCAUCCGCUGCUGCAAUGCUUCAAUUUCAAAAGCUGCAUGAAGCCCAACACUGUACAGAACAACAGCCUCCUUUUCAGAAUUACAUCU
rnacentral:misc_RNA from 1 species